rnacentral:rRNA from 1 species
GGAGAGGGAGCCUGAGAAACGGCUACCACAUCCAAGGAAGGCAACAGGCGCGAAAAUUACCCAAUCUAGACAGUAGGAGGUGGUGAAGAGAAUUACUAAGUAGUGGUCCAAAGGAUCACUUGUUUGGAAUGAACGUAACUUAAGAAAUUCGUUGAGAAACAACUGGAGGGCAAGUCCUGGUGCCAGCAGCCGCGGUAAUUCCAGCUCCAGUAGUUUGCUUUAAAGUUGUUGCGUUUAAAACGCUCGUAGUUGGAUCACGCAGCGAUGUACAGUAAUCUAUGGUUCGACGCUGUUCCCUGCGUCCGUCUCGAUACGGCCAGGGUUUCAGCUCGACCUUAGAUGAUCACGCUGGACAUUGCUAGUUGCACGUGAGAUAGAUUGUUGGCCUUAAAUGUGCCGAUAUUCUUGUCUUGCGUGGUGUGCCUUGAAUAAAACAGAGUGCUCAAAGCAGGCUUUCGCCUGAAUGUUAUAGCAUGGAACGAACAAUCGUGUACAUGUGUGUGUCUUCUGGCGGUGAUACGCCUUUGGCUUGUCGUUGUCAGAGACGCACACGGCACCCACCAAAAUAUGGCUGUUGGUUCCAUAUACGGUGAUGAUUAAUAGGAGCGGUUGGGGGCAUCGGUAUUUGGCCGCGAGAGGUGAAAUUCUUAGACCGGCCAAGGACUAACAAAUGCAAAGGCACUUGUCUAGACCGUUUCCAUUAAUCAAGAACGAAAGUGGGAGGUUCGAAGACGAUCAGAUACCGUCCUAGUUCCCACUGUAAACUAUGCCGACCUGGGAUCGGUUUAGAGAUGUUACAAGCUCUAGAUCGGUCCCCCUGGGAAACCUGAAGUUUUUCGGUUACGGGGAGAGUAUGGUCGCAAGGCUGAAACUUAAAGGAAUUGACGGAAGGGCACCACCAGGGGUGGAGCCUGCGGCUUAAUUUGACUCAACACGGGGAAACUUACCUGGUCCGGACAUCGAUAGGAUUAACAGAUCAAUAGCUCUUUUAUGAUCCGAUGAGUGGUGGUGCAUGGCCGUUCUUAGUUCGUGGAGUGAUCUGUCAGCCUAAUUGCGGUAACGAACGAGACCACAGUCUCCAUUUAAGAGAUGCAAGCAGGUGUUCGGUUGUCUCGAUACCUCGCGGUGUCAGCGGCUGUACGCUGUAGGAAGGGUAGUCAGCUUUGUUGGUGGGCAUGUGGGGCAACUUAUGUGUUUGUUGGCAGAGCCGGCUAUUUCUCCCUUGCAUCACGCAGCAGUUGGUUCACACUGGCUGCUGCCUUAUGGAGAGACAACGAGGUAUAUACAAGCUCGAGGAAGAGUGGCUAUAACAGGUCAGUGAUGCCCUUCGAUGUUCAGGGCUGCACGCGCGCUACAAUGGUAAC